rnacentral:rRNA from 1 species
AUUGAACGCUGGCGGCAUGCCUUACACAUGCAAGUCGAACGGCAGCACGGGUGCUUGCACCUGGUGGCGAGUGGCGAACGGGUGAGUAAUAUAUCGGAACGUGCCCAGUCGUGGGGGAUAACGUAGUGAAAAUUACGCUAAUACCGCAUACGAUCUACGGAUGAAAGCGGGGGAUCGCAAGACCUCGCGCGAUUGGAGCGGCCGAUAUCAGAUUAGGUAGUUGGUGAGGUAAAGGCUCACCAAGCCGACGAUCUGUAGCUGGUCUGAGAGGACGACCAGCCACACUGGGACUGAGACACGGCCCAGACUCCUACGGGAGGCAGCAGUGGGGAAUUUUGGACAAUGGACGCAAGUCUGAUCCAGCCAUUCCGCGUGCAGGACGAAGGCCUUCGGGUUGUAAACUGCUUUUGUACAGAACGAAAAGGUCUCUAUUAAUACUGGGGGCUCAUGACGGUACUGUAAGAAUAAGCACCGGCUAACUACGUGCCAGCAGCCGCAGUAA